rnacentral:tRNA from 1 species
GAAGGUAUAGCUCAAGUGGUAGAGCACAUGCUUAGUAGGCAUGAGGUCCUUGGUUCAAUUUCCAGUACCUCCA